AGAGUUUGAUCCUGGCUCAGGAUGAACGCUAGCUACAGGCUUAACACAUGCAAGUCGAGGGGCAUCAGUUUGGUUUGCUUGCAAACCAAAGCUGGCGACCGGCGCACGGGUGAGUAACACGUAUCCAACCUGCCUCAUACUCGGGGAUAGCCUUUCGAAAGAAAGAUUAAUAUCCGAUAGCAUAUAUUUCCCGCAUGGGUUUUAUAUUAAAGAAAUUCGGUAUGAGAUGGGGAUGCGUUCCAUUAGUUUGUUGGCGGGGUAACGGCCCACCAAGACUACGAUGGAUAGGGGUUCUGAGAGGAAGGUCCCCCACAUUGGAACUGAGACACGGUCCAAACUCCUACGGGAGGCAGCAGUGAGGAAUAUUGGUCAAUGGACGAGAGUCUGAACCAGCCAAGUAGCGUGAAGGAUGACUGCCCUAUGGGUUGUAAACUUCUUUUAUAUGGGAAUAAAGUGGUCCACGUGUGGACUUUUGUAUGUACCAUAUGAAUAAGGAUCGGCUAACUCCGUGCCAGCAGCCGCGGUAAUACGGAGGAUCCGAGCGUUAUCCGGAUUUAUUGGGUUUAAAGGGAGCGUAGGCGGACGCUUAAGUCAGUUGUGAAAGUUUGCGGCUCAACCGUAAAAUUGCAGUUGAUACUGGAUAUCUUGAGUGCAGUUGAGGCAGGCGGAAUUCGUGGUGUAGCGGUGAAAUGCUUAGAUAUCACGAAGAACUCCGAUUGCGAAGGCAGCUCACUGGAGUGUAACUGACGCUGAUGCUCGAAAGUGUGGGUAUCAAACAGGAUUAGAUACCCUGGUAGUCCACACAGUAAACGAUGAAUACUCGCUGUUUGCGAUAUACAGUAAGCGGCCAAGCGAAAGCGUUAAGUAUUCCACCUGGGGAGUACGCCGGCAACGGUGAAACU
rnacentral:rRNA from 1 species